rnacentral:rRNA from 1 species
UACGUAGGUCCCGAGCGUUGUCCGGAUUUAUUGGGCGUAAAGCGAGCGCAGGUGGUUUAUUAAGUCUGGUGUAAAAAGCAGUGGCUCAACCAUUGUAUGCAUUGGAAACUGGUAGACUUGGGUGCAGGAGAGGAGAGUGGAAUUCCAUGUGUAGCGGUGAAAUGCGUAGAUAUAUGGAGGAACACCGGUGGCGAAAGCGGCUCUCUGGCCUGUAACUGACACUGAGGCUCGAAAGCGUGGGGAGCAAACAGG